rnacentral:rRNA from 2 species
UACGGAGGAUCCAAGCGUUAUCCGGAUUUAUUGGGUUUAAAGGGUGCGUAGGCGGCCUGUUAAGUCAGGGGUGAAAGACGGUGGCUCAACCAUCGCAGUGCCCUUGAUACUGAUGGGCUUGAUUUCAGUUGAGGUAGGCGGAAUGUGACAAGUAGCGGUGAAAUGCAUAGAUAUGUCACAGAACACCGAUUGCGAAGGCAGCUUACUAAAGUGAUAAUGACGCUGAGGCACGAAAGCGUGGGGAUCAAACAGG